rnacentral:rRNA from 1 species
GCUGCGGCGCAUUAGCUAGUUGGUAGGGUAACGGCCUACCAAGGCGACGAUGCGUAGCCGACCUGAGAGGGUGACCGCCCACACUGGGACUGAGACACGGCCCAGACUCCUACGGGAGGCAGCAGUAGGGAAUCUUCCGCAAUGGACGCAAGUCUGACGGAGCAACGCCGCGUGAGUGAUGAAGGUUUUCGGAUCGUAAAGCUCUGUUGCCCUAGACGAACAGCAAGGAGAGUAACUGCUCUUUGUGUGACGGUAUAGGAGAAGAAAGCCCCGGCUAACUACGUGCCAGCAGCCGCGGUAAUACGUAGGGGGCAAGCGUUGUCCGGAAUUAUUGGGCGUAAAGCGCGCGCAGGCGGUCGUUUAAGUCUGGUGUUUAAGCCCGGGGCUCAACCCCGGUUCGCAUCGGAAACUGGAUGACUUGAGUGUAAGAGAGGAAAGUGGAAUUCCACGUGUAGCGGUGAAAUGCGUAGAGAUGUGGAGGAACACCAGUGGCGAAGGCGACUUUCUGGCUUAUAACUGACGCUGAGGC